UACUCGUGAACAUUUUACUCAACAUUUAAAAAUCUUUAAGACCUUUCAGUACAUAAAUCUUACAUAACAAUCUAGCAAAAGUGUAUAAAAUCUAAACACAUUUCUAAAAGAAAGGGUGAGGCUUUCAGGGUGGCUAUACUGUGUUGAACGUGGGCAGUGUUCUCUCUCUCUUGUGGUUUUGCUUAUAUGGCAGUUCCAGCUCACAAGAGCCCUCGGAGCCUGUCUGUUGGCCUGCAUCCUGUGGCAUUUGGCGAGUGAGAUCUGUUUAAUAUAAGGUGUCCAUAAAGCCAAGGUUAUGAUAUCUAAAAAUAAUCAACACUAAUUCCCCAGAAAUUUUGUCUUUUUUGACCAAGCCACUGGUGCAAUGUGGAGUCACUGCAUUAUAUGCAAAAAGAAUAAUGCCCUCACUCCAGAGUCUGAACCAGAACUGACCCUCAGUGGUGACUCCCCCUUUAUUCUAGGAGGUGUUAACAUUAGCUAUGGCAACGUAAAAACGGUGUUUCUGGAGGCAGUGGGGGCCGAGAAUGGAAAGUCCUCUGCAGCCGUCAACAUGGAGAGUGAGGCAAUGCAGGUGUUGACUCACGGAACUGGACGAGAAUCUACUACUCCUUCUCUACUGUUCUCUUCCUACAAACUGAACGAAAAUGAAAAGGAAGUCAUUUCUGCAUGUGUCACAGAGGCAUCCUUUGGUUCUAAAGGGAGCUGAGUUGGAUUCCACAAGUGUAUGGUCCUUGUAGCAUGUGAAUAGGAGUCAGUCACAGACAAGAAGGAAGGGUUCGGGGGAGACUGUCACCGCCCUGUCCAGGCUACCCCUCCAGCUGCCCAGGUGACAGGCUGGCCUGUGUUUGUGUUGUGUAAGUGUGUACAGCUGCUAAUGUAGGGUCCAGAAACAUCUUACAAAGUAAGCCUAUCCCUACAUGUAGUUUUAUGUGGGUAUGAAUUCAUUUCAGUUCUUAACAUGAACAUUUGUACAGUGCUUCCAAGUGAGGGUUUGACUGCCUCACAUCUGGAAUCCUUCAAGUUUAUCCUUCUUGGAGUCAGUGUCAUGAACGUUUUCCCCUAGGUCAAGAGUCUGCUGUCAACAUGAUGUUCUCUAAUUACACGGCUUCAUACAACUCUCAGCUUUGUGGACAUAUAUUUUUGUAUUUAAGGUGUUCCUUCUUUUACUUCUGUUUAUAGUUCAUCCUUGACACUGCUCUUUUCCCACUGCCUUUAUCUCAGGUCCUUCCCAAGCUUUCAUCCUGGCUGACUUCUUUUAAGUAAUGGAAGGAGAGGAUGUGGGGUCAGUCAGCCUGACUUCCGAUCCCUUCUCCACCCAUUACUUGGCAAAUUAAAGCUGUGUUUAGGCUU